GACGAACGCUGGCGGCGUGCUUAACACAUGCAAGUCGAACGAAGAGCGAUGGACGCUUGCUUCUAUCAAUCUUAGUGGCGAACGGGUGAGUAACGCGUAAUCAACCUGCCCUUCAGAGGGGGACAACAGUUGGAAACGACUGCCAAUACCGCAUACGAUCUAAUCUCGGCAUCGAGGAUAGAUGAAAGGUGGCCUCUACAUGUAAGCUAUCACUGAAGGAGGGGAUUGCGUCUGAUUAGCUAGUUGGAGGGGUAACGGCCCACCAAGGCGAUGAUCAGUAGCCGGUCUGAGAGGAUGAACGGCCACAUUGGGACUGAGACACGGCCCAGACUCCUACGGGAGGCAGCAGUGGGGAAUCUUCCGCAAUGGACGAAAGUCUGACGGAGCAACGCCGCGUGAGUGAUGACGGCCUUCGGGUUGUAAAGCUCUGUUAAUCGGGACGAAAGGCCUUCUUGCGAAUAGUGAGAAGGAUUGACGGUACCGGAAUAGAAAGCCACGGCUAACUACGUG
rnacentral:rRNA from 1 species